CUUUCUCUGUCUGACUUAUAAGAAGUAAUAUUUUGUUUAUUCCCAUUUUAUGGAUAAAAUAAACUCAAAAAGAAAGGAAAAGAAAACCCCUUGACCUAUGUUUAAGACAUGGAUGAGCCAUUCUUUGUGCUGUGUUCUUGCAAACUUUUUAUCAUCUUUACCCUUAUAACUGAGCUUUGAAAUAUUUUAAUCACACUUUUAAAAUGUAUUUAUUUUUAAAUUUACACAGCCUUUUCAGUGAGCUUUGCCAAAUGCAUAAAGUCACGACAGUCCUGACACAGAACUGUCCCUUCGCCCACCUGCUGGCCUUUGUAGUCAUUCCCUCCCUACCCCGGCUCCCUGCCCAUCACUGGUUUGUUCUCCAUCCCUAGAGUCUGUACAGUCAUAGUUUUAGUAAAUAAAAAACCAAAGCACAGAGAAUUUGAGCAACUUACUUAAGGUAAGAAGCUCACGUGAUUAGGCUUGGCCAUUGAACCCAUACUUGUGAUUCUCCAUGAAGGUGGAAGGCGGGAGUGCAGAGCCAAGGAAAACGCUUGUCCCAUUGCCUUGCCCCCAUUCCUCCUUCCGCAGAGAGGGCCCUGUCCUUAGUCUGGGCUCUGUGAGAGGCAGGGCCAACACAGCCUCAUCACUGAAGGCCAGAUCUGAUGACGCUGCCCCUCUGCUCAUUCGCUAGGUGCUGAGGGAGGACUGUGUUCCUACCCGGUGGAAGAAUCUGAAACCCGUGUGACCUGCAGGAUGCCUAGAAGAUGACGGUGCAGCAGACUGGUCUUUUUCCAGGGGUCCCGCUCAUCUCCAAGACAAGGGGUUCUGAGAGGAGGUCAUUGCUAAAUAUUCAGCCUCUCCAUUCACCAGCUUGCCCUCCAAGGCCCGGGGGCCCUUUUCCAGACAGGGGUAAGACUGCAGGAAAUACUGUGAAAUUCACGAGGGCUGACCCGCCCCUCCAGGCUGCAGUCUUGGCUGCAAGACUCCAUCAGGCCCUACCACCUAAGAAGCUGGAUCCACUGCUGAGGGCUUUUGAGAUCAGUAGCCCUAACGCUUUAGGUGCAGAAGUUUCCGGAGAACCCAGCCUCGGCUUCCUGCAUUCUCUGCUGAGGGGCUGCGGCAGUGAUAAUGGACCAAACCCAAGGCUCUCCCACAAGACUGGGGCUAGCAAGCAGUGAAGUUCACCGGCUGUGAAAACCCCACCCUCUGGCCCAGUUAUUAACUAGCUGGGGGAUCUUAAAAGAGUUGUUUACUUUCUGGAUGAACAUUAUCUUUCUCAUCUGUGCAGUGGAAUAAAUAAUACCUAACUUACAAGGCUGUAGAGGGAUCAUGUCACGUGGCACACAGAACACACUGCACAGCAGGAAUUACUACCACCCCCACUGUCGUCACCAUUACUCACUGGAGUUUAAUUUAAGCAACCGUGUUUGGGUAUUUCUGUAAAUUAUAUACCUGAGACGUUCUCUGCCUUUUGCUGCCAAUCCACCAUGUGAUACAACAUGAGGAACGUUCUAGCCAAUGCCUGGUGUUCAUUCCUGAAUGGGACCUCUGCCCUGAGACCAUGUUGUUUUCCACCUGACACUUGGUGUUACAGCAAGUAGCGGAUAGAAGGAUCCUCUCUCUCCCUGAGCCUAGAGCCCAGAGCCCAGAGCCCAGAGCCCAGGACCAAACCAAUGCUGCCAGUGCUGGCCUUUUUCUUCCACAUCCUGUCCUGGUCCCUUGGACCUCAGACUCAAAGUUUUCUUUUAAAUAAAAGGCAACAUCUAAUCAAAAUAAAGGCAUGGUAAAAAAAAAAAAUUCAAGAGAUUACGGACCAGCAAUGUGAAAAUGAAAACCCGGAAUCCUUUUCUUAUCCUGGCCCAGCAGUGUUCCCAGUCUGGCGAUGUGUGUACAGAGGGCGGGUGCCAUUUCUGUGACCCAGGGAGGGCAGUUCCCCAUCUGCUUCAACCUGUGUCUAUCUCAGGUGGAGUUCCUUGUCAUGAUGUCUGGGCAUCGCAGGAGAGAGUGUGAGCCGCACAGAACACCUAUGUUUGGCUCAUAAGACGUGAGAUCAUUUUGAAUGCAGAAACCUGCUUUUUAGGCCACAGCUAAUUACUAGUGUAGGGCUGGCUGAUGCUAUGGUUCGCUCCCUGGUGAUUUCCUGCAUUGAAAUGACAGCUGAUUCCCCCCCCCCCAUCUCAUUAUCUUUUGGGCUGGUUUAUCCCCUUCCCUUCUUAGACUUCAGCAACCUGAAAAUUUGGACAAAAUGAAAAGGAUAUGGAUAAGAUAAAUAAUUAAUUGCUAAGACAGUCACUUAAUUCAUAAGAAUCAUGGCAGGAUGUCUGAAGUUAAGGGUUAAUUUAACUCAUGUCUUUGCCUAUUAUAUGUACAUGAACUUGUCAUCACUCUGAUGCUUAGAAUUUAAAGAUCAACUUUCCUCUCAGGUCUUUCAGUUUGUAAGGACAUUGGCUCUGAGUUCUCUUUCUCUGAGGGGCGUGGAAAUUAAGGAUUAGGAGAAAUUUUAAGAUGUAGCCAAGAUUGCAUAGUAAAUGAUCAGACAACUGAGUCUUUCCAUUCCUAAUCUAGUCUUCCAGCCACUUUGCAAUCUUAGUUCCUCAUUUGUCAAAUGACGAUCAUAAUUAUACCUUUCUUAUGAUAUGAGGAACCGUGCUAAAAAUCCCUAAAAAUAAAAGAGAAAUACCAAAAACUAACAGUAGGAUUGUAAGUAAACAUAUGUUUUUUUCUCUUAUAUUUUCCCAUUUUUAAAUACAGAACAAUUUAUUAAUUUUAUCUUCAAGAGACGUAUUUUUUAAAAUUAUACAUUUCAUAAGGCUGUAUGCAGCAGUAUCCAAGUCUUUCGUGCAGUCACAAGGCAUAAUACAUUUGUGUCCCUGCUGUUCAGUUAUUCUCAGUCUCUCAAUACUCUGUAAGUUCCUAGGUCUUGCAGCACCUUUCUCCUGAGGCAUAGCCUCAAACUAAGGCCCUACAUUCAAAGGGUACUCAGUGAGGCAUUGUUUCCUCUUGUAGCCAUUUAGAGACAAAGUUACUCAAGCCUGCCCUUUCUGGCUUCAGUGCUGAAUGUAGUUAGAUGCUCAGUUCUAAAAUCAUAUCACUAUUUCAUACAUUUGCGGUCCAGGCCCAGCAAAAUGAAGAGAGAUGAUGGGUGAGGAAGUCUGGGAUGGGGAAGAGACCACUGAGUCAUUAUGUUCUCACCAAAUGUUAACUGGAAGGCUUCAACCACCCAAAAGCCUAAAGCAAUCUCUUGGCCAGUAUUUCCCCAUCCAUGCGCCCCAAUGCUGACCAACCAUCCCCUCUGGCACCUUAUAAGGGCACGCUAAUUAGAAAACUCAUCUUGCAAGAAUGCGGCAGAGAAACCUUUCACACGGAGUGGAACCUCAGCGCCCAGCGGCACCAUGACUCAGUGGUGGAGCUGACUUCCAACACCCAGUCUGAUCACUCUCCAGCCAAAAAAGAGAUGACCUACAUGGCAAAGGCCAGGCAAAUUCCCACAGGGCCAGCCACGAGGCUAGUGCAUGGGGGUGACAGGUUCCUAAAGUACUAGUUACACCUGCAGUGUCAGGGGGAGAAGGGAAGAGGCCAAAACCAACUCAUUUGCCCAUUUGUUUAUUUUCUUAUGGUGUAUUGUCUGCUCCUGGAUCAAGGGCUGUGUCAUCUGCUAUGGGGAAAACAAAGAUGAAUCAGAUAGCCCUGGCCCUCAGGUCUAGUUAGAGGGAAGGAUAGAUUAGAAAAUAUUAGAUGCUUAUAACUUUUAUACAUGAAAUAUAUACAAGAGACUAUGGAAUUACAAAGUCCAGAGCAGCUUUAGGCUAAGAGGGGAAGCGAAAGCUCCACAAAGGAGUUAAAUCUGAGUUGAGUCUUGAAGAAUGACAAGGAUGCUCUAAGAAGCAGCCAGAGGCCCAGGUGAGGCUGGCUCUGUGUGAGUCCUCCACUCCACUCACCAGCUUAAUUAUGUGCUAUAGUUUUGCACUAGAAUGGCUGGGAAUGGCCCAACAGCCAUCUGUGUGUAUAUAGUUUUAAAUGCUGUCACUCCUUGUGUUUUAUCUUUUGUUUUUAUUUUUCUUAUUUCCCAACUUGCCCUGGCCUUGCGUGUGUAAGGAAAUGUAAACUUUCCUGUUUGGCAUCUCUGGAGACAGUUAUGUGCAUGUCAUUGCCUUGUCUGUAUUGUCUCCAUUCCAUUGAUGUUCCUCACUUCUCUCCCUCUCCUUUGAAUUGAUAACCAUCAUGAGUAAAGCUGUGGUGUCUUCUGUUCACUCCUCCUGCUUCUUUCUUAUUUUUUCAGCUUAAAGUGAUAAGAAAUAAGAUGCAGGAACACUGCUGAGACAAAAAGGCACUAGAUGCUUGGAAGACCAGAAUGCCCUUCCUUGAGGAAGGAGGUAGAGUCAUCAUAUUAACACCCUGUUCUAAGCAUGGUCACCCAUGACUCAGCAGAUGAUGGGAAUGUUAAAAUCAUACUCCUAAAUGUCUAUUAUAUUUUUUCAUAGAUGAAACAGAAUCUUCACAGAAACUUUGUAAAUCUCAGUGUAGACAUUGAGAGAGCAUCUAUGCCUUUCUAGAAUAUUCUGCUCCAAUAUCUUGGUGAUCUUCCCCAAGAUCACACACUUGAUGCCUAGUUCACAGAGACAAACUUCAGCUUCUGUCUUAGACUAGAACUGGUCCACAUGCACAUUUAUUCACUGUUUUAAACUAACAUAGAGAUGCCUUUACUUCCAACUCCUUUCUCUAGUCCUCAGUGAAUCUACCACAUCCAUCUUUCUGAAAACAUCACUUUGAGAACAACAUCUUUCAAUUUUAAAAUCAAUAGUUUUCUUCUGCCUUGAAGACAAAAUCUGAGCUACACAGCCAUGCACUUAAAGUUCCUAGACUCUCAUCUAAUUCUCCAACUGUAUGUCUUAAUAUCCCAGCCACACGUUCUACUCACCCAGCACAACAAAGUGCUUGAGUAGCCAGUACACACACACACACACACACACACACACACACACACCUGGCUCACUGGAGACUGUGACUCACCUGCUCUUUUCUGCUUGAACUGCAUUUCUUUUGAAUCUCCAAAAAAGAAAAGAAAAUGAAACAAAAUGAGACUAUAAUUUAUGCUCCCUUUCCCUGACUCUCCCCGAUCUGAUGGAACCACUCUCUCAUUCCAUAGGAUGCUAGUAACUUUUCACCUGGAUUGUUCAUUAGGGUUCUUGUAGCUUCUCUCUUUCAAUACCAUUAAAUUCUUCUCCUGUUAUAAUACAAGUAACUUGGAGGCAGGGACUUUAGUCUGUUUGGUUCAGGGCUGUACCCCAAGUACAGAGAAUGGUAUCUGGCAAGUGAUGGAUGCUCAACAAAUAAUUAUUGAAAGAGCACCUACAUUAAGCUAGACAGUGCUAGACUUAUCUAUGUGCAUACCUUAUACCUUAUCUUUCUCCAUUGACUGAGUGUUCCUUGAAGGCCUGGAGACCACAGUGUAUUCAUCUCCGAUGUACUUAGCAUACGGCCCACCGCAUAAUAAGAACUUGGUAAACAUUUGUUCAGUAAAUCAUGUCAUGAAUGAAGGAAUAUCUUUAGAGACAACUAAUUCCACCAAAUAUUCUUUUCUUUCUUAAAUACUUUCUUUCUGCCUCUAUUCUUCAGAUUCCUAUGACAAAGUUCUGUGUUGCCCUUGAAUAGAAAAGCCAAUAAGAGACAUGUGUCUUACCUUUGUUACUGCAAACACUUGUACCACUGCUUUACUCAUGCUCUAAGUAUCCAUUUCACUGUUUACUCUGGAGUUCAGAUAAGUGUUAGUGGUGAAGGGGAGUGACUGGGAAGGAAAGAAUUAAAUUAAAUUGAGUGAUUAAAGGAAUAAGGAAAUAAGGAAAAUCCCACAUCCACUGUCCCUACAAACUAUAUUUUUUAACCCUAUUGUUUGCACAGUAGAUAGAUGUUUUACUUAUAAUUUGUGCUAUUUCAAUACCCAGAAAAUCUACUGGAAACUUUGCUUUACUAUAGAGAAGUAAUUUUCAAACACAGGCUUUUAUUGUUUGGCCCAUUUUUUACAUUGAAUGGUGCUCUGAAUUUGGAGUAGUUAUCAUGUUUAUAACAAUUCUAAGUUACUGUGACUCAUAUAAGGACAGAGUCCAGAUUAAUUCACCUUUGUGUGCCCAUUAACCCAAUUCCAGGCAAAGAGUAGGGUCUAAAUGUGCUUACUUAAUUUUAACAUUAUUAAUCAUUCAGUUGAUCAAUUUAAUGAAUGAACAUUUGUCAGUGUUUUACUGUAUGCCACAUACUUAGCUGUGUUCUAGGAUAAUACAAAAACAAAUGUGAAAAUUAGUGUUCCUGGGUUGUUCACAGGCUAGUGGAUAAAUAUAUCCACAAUGAGUUGCAAAUCACUUGAAAUAAUUUCAUGCUGUGGUUACAACUGCUUUUUCAAAUUCAUGUAUCAAAUGGUUGUUAUCAUUCAUGAAAAAAGGUGCAAAAAUCAAGAAAAUAUUAGCAAAUCAAAUCUAACAAUGUAUAAUGGAAAGUAUACACCUUGAUCAAGUGGGAUGUGUUCUAGGUAUGCAAGGCUGGUUCAACAUUCAAAAUAGUAAUUCAUAUAAUCCAUCAUAUCAACCGGCUAAAGAAGAAAAACUAUAUGAUUAUAUCAAUAGAUAAAAAAAUUGACAAAAUCCAAUAUUCAUUCAUGAUAAAAACUAUCAGCAAACUAGGGAUGGAAGGGAACUUCCUUAACUUGAUAAAGAACAUUUAUAAGAAACCUGGCGUUAACAUUAUACUUGAUGAUGAAAAACUAGAUACUUUCUACUAAGAUCAGGAAUAGGACAAGAUUCAAUUCCUAUUCAACAUUGUAGUGUAAAUUCUAGUUAAUGCACUAAAACAAGAAAAGGAAAUAAGAGUUAUACAGAUAGGGAAGAAAGAAAUAAACUAUUAUUUUUUCAUGAUGACAUGAUUAUCUAUGCAGAAAAUCCCUAAGAGUCAAAAAAAAAAAAAACCCGAAAACCAAAAAACCUAUCUAUAAGAACAA